GACGAACGCUGGCGGCGUGCUUAACACAUGCAAGUCGAGCGGUAAGGCCCUUUCGGGGGUACGACGAGCGGCGAACGGGUGAGUAACACGUGGGUGACCUGCCCUCAGCUCUGGGAGUAAGCCUGGGAAACCGGGUCUAAUACCGGAUAUGACUCCAUGACGCAUGUUGUGGGGUGGAAAGCCUUGUGCGGCUGAGGAUGGGCCCGCGGCCUAUCAGCUUGUUGGUGGGGUGAUGGCCUACCAAGGCGACGACGGGUAGCCGGCCUGAGAGGGCGACCGGCCACACUGGGACUGAGACACGGCCCAGACUCCUACGGGAGGCAGCAGUGGGGAAUCUUGCGCAAUGGGCGAAAGCCUGACGCAGCGACGCCGCGUGAGGGAUGAC
rnacentral:rRNA from 1 species